rnacentral:rRNA from 1 species
AAGGAAUAUUGGUCAAUGGACGCAAGUCUGAACCAGCCAUGCCGCGUGGAGGAUUAAGGCCCUCUGGGUUGUAAACUCCUUUUAUCUGGGAAGAAAUGUACUUUUUCUUGAGUACUUGACGGUACCAGAGGAAUAAGCACCGGCUAACUCCGUGCCAGCAGCCGCGGUAAUACGGAGGGUGCAAGCGCUAUCCGGAUUCACUGGGUUUAAAGGGUGCGUAGGUGGGCAGGUAAGUCAGUGGUGAAAUCUCCGGGCUUAACCCGGGAACUGCCGUUGAUACUAUUUGUCUUGAAUGUUGUGGAGGUAAGCUGAAUAUGUCAUGUAGCGGUGAAAUGCUUAGAUAGUACAUAGAACACCAAUUGCGAAGGCAGCUUACUACACAAUCAUUGACGCUGAGGCACGAAAGCGUGGGGAUCAAACA